rnacentral:misc_RNA from 1 species
GAUGAAGAACGUAGUGAAAUGCGAUAAGUAAUGUGAAUUGCAGAAUUCAGUGAAUCAUCGAGUCUUUGAACGCACAUUGCGCCCCCUGGUAUUCCGGGGGGCAUGCCUGUCCGAGCGUCAUUGCUGCCCUCAAGCACGGCUUGUGUGUUGGGCCUCCGUCCUCCUCCCGGGGGACGGGCCCGAAAGGCAGCGGCGGCACCGCGUCCGGUCCUCGAGCGUAUGGGGCUUCGUCACCCGCUCUUGUAGGCCCGGCCGGCGCUUGCCGACACAUCAAUCUUUUUUCCAGGUUGACCUCGGAUCAGGUAGGGAUACCCGCUGAACUUAAGCAUAUCAAUAAGCGGAGGA